GUGGGGAAUCUUCCGCAAUGGACGAAAGUCUGACGGAGCAACGCCGCGUGAGUGAAGAAGGUUUUCGGAUCGUAAAGCUCUUUCGUUAGGGACGAACGUGCUCUUUGUGAAUAAUGAGGAGUAAUGACGGUACCUAAAUAAGAAGCCACGGCUAACUACGUGCCAGCAGCCGCGGUAAUACGUAGGUGGCAAGCGUUGUCCGGAAUUAUUGGGCGUAGAGCGCGCGCAGGCGGGAUAUCAAGUCUGUCUUAAAAGUGCGAGGCUCAACCUCGUGAGGGGACAGAAACUGGUAUUCUUGAGUGUCGGAGAGGAAAGUGGAAUUCCAAGUGUAGCGGUGAAAUGCGUAGAGAUUUGGAAGAACACCAGUGGCGAAGGCGACUUUCUGGACGAUGUCUGACGCUGAGGCGCGAAAGCUAGGGGAGCGAACGGGAUUAGAAACCCGUGUAGUCC
rnacentral:rRNA from 1 species